rnacentral:lncRNA from 1 species
CCAGAUGAUUCAUACAAGUUUCUGAGAAACAACAUCGUUUCUUCUACUCUUAUGUAUUCAUAUGAGUUGAGGCGUUUAGCAGUAAACAAUUCCAUCAAGCAUAUUUUACGUAAUUGACGCCAGUAUGGUCCGUAUUGUGACCAUGUGAUAUUUGAGUAAUUGAAGGUUGUGUACUUACCUGCGGCCAGUUUGGGCCGGUAAGAAAACAGAGCGUCGUGGGUUUUAAGGAAAGCCUCCGCCAUCUCAACGGAAGAUCCCACAACAACGGGGAAUGAUCCGAAUUUGAGUUGCAUGAUAGGCCCAUAUUUUUCGGACAGAGCAUGGAUGGACCGAUAGGGAAGUGGGCCUAUGAGGUUGAGGUUUCCGAUGAUCGGCCAUGGCUUUGGGCCAGGCGGUAAGUUGAGUUCCCGGCGGCGAAGACGGAGGGAGAGGAGUAUGAGGGCUAGGGUUGCUAACCAUGCGGCCAAGUAAUAAGCCCAAGAGUGAUGAAUGAGCUCCAUUGUAGUAAACAUUAGCUAGUUUACUGGUGUGGAGUUGCAAGUAUUGCGGGAUGGAGUGGUCUGGUAUUUAAAAUACGGAAUGGCCCAAAAAUAUCUACGAGAAAUCAAUGAACAACUUGUAUCUAUCAGUGACAAUCACACACUCGCCUACUUUAUCUUGUUUUUGUUGAACAUGUGAUUAGAGAAAAAAAAAAUGUCAAAGAUGGUGGCUGGUGGUCGUCAAAGAAGCCGCCAAUGUGGUGCCAGCCACCAUCAUUGAACCGGGAAAAAUGGGUGAGUGCCGCCCAUGCAAAGAAGUAAAAAGGACAAAAAGGAAGCCAAAAUUUGGCAGUUCUCCCCCUCAUUUUUUGCAUCCCAUAGAAGCAAUUCCAAUUGAGUUCCAAUUGAGAGCAUUCAAUUGGUGAAUGCAAGAGACGUAUUCGGGAAGAAUUUAUCAAUGAACAACUUGUAUGCAUCAGUGACAAACACACUCACCUACUUUUUCUUCUUUUCAGCUGAAAGGAAUCUCAAUUUCAAAAAAAAAAAUAAUAAUAAUAAAUUUAAUUAAAUUGUGGACAAAUAAACCAGUUAUCUGUUGUAGUUUAAUCUAUAUUUCACUUUGAUCAACUAAUCAAUUGCAGGUUGAGUAGUUGACCUCAAUUUUGCAGCAAAUCCUCUCAUCUUGAGCCAUUUUUACGGUUAAAAAUUAUAUUAAAGUUCCCACAAAGAUUCUUUCUGAUGAGGGCAGCUCAAAUCCGAUUGAUUAUUAGUCUACCCCCUUGCAUCUUCAUCUUCACUACUACUAAUAUACUUUUCCUUUUGAGAAGGAAAAAAAAAAAUUACAUUACAAGUCUACUUAUACUUAUAAUCAUAAAUUUAUUUGAAUUUUUUCAUCAGCACUUUGACAAUGUAUAUACUCAAAUAUCCUCGAGAAAUUAUUCCCUAAACACGUUCUUCUCCCCGUCCCAACCAAAAAACUUUUUAAGAUAAAAUUUAUUUGAGUUUUUUUUUUUUUUUUUUAAGAAACAGAAUCUCUUCCUAUUAUCUCUAUACUAAACGUUAACUAUGACUCGAGUGCAGGAUCUACUUCCACUCCAUAUUUGAUUAUCGUUUAUUUGAUGAUUAUGAUUGAAACUGAUAUGUCUAAACAGAACAACUCAAGUUAAUUACUUAUCUCGAUCACAGCCCUCUGAAACCAUUAACUUGUUAAUCAAUUGCGUGUUGAGUAGUUAUACGACAAACUCUCACAUGGAUUGGCACAUGCGGCGUGCCCCCACUUGGUCAAAUUUCAAAUUACUUAUCCCCACCCUUUUGAUUAAUAUCUUUUUUGUUACUUAUGUCCUUCGGUAUUUGACUUUUAAAAUUGUUAACGUAUACUUAAUUUGAUUAUUUCGGAUUUUUUAAAAGUAUGUGUUAGUGUUCAUAGUACCUUUAACCAUUUAUUUAAUAGAUUGCUGAUCCCUAACUUUUCCUAUAAGAGUUGACCACGUGCGCGGCGGAGAGCAACAUUGUCCACCUAUGGAUAACCUUCAACAAUUUAUUUUAAAUAUAUAUAUUUUUAGUUUACUUAAAAUAUUUAUAUUCUUAUGGAUAAAAUAACGUCUAUGGUUUAUUUUCUUUACCUUAUGUUUUUUCAAUAUUCUGUGAGACUAGUAAUUAGGUCACAAUAAAGCUGAACCAAAUACAAAAAAAUAUAAAAGCCCAACACAGAAAAUCAUAAUGAGUUGGUUCUUUUCUUGUUUUCUUCAUUAAUUACCACAAUCGUUGAUUAGGAACAAAACCCAGCCAAGCAAUUUAUGGUACAAUUUGGAAUAUUUCAAAGUUUUGCUUUAUCAAAAGAGGCUUUCUAGCCAAAAAAGAUAAAGAAAAUCUUAUGUUAAUAGUGAAGUCCCUCAGGUUUCAGCCUUCAAGUGCAGAGAUGUCAUAUAUAACUCCUUCUAAAUGUUCACAAAUGGUGGUCAAGGCAUCCUGCUCAUACUCAUGCUUCAUCGGCAUGUUACAUUUGGCAUUCAUCAUAAAAAAUAUUUACACAAAUCUUCUUCUUCUUGUUUUUUUUUUAGAUUAAAUUGUUUUAAUCUUGAAGUUUUCGUUGGUAUCUUCUCCAUAUUUUUUUUUCAGAUUAAUUUUUUCCAUCCAUUGGAAAAAAAAAAAUCUCACACUCACAGAAAAAUUGGAAUACUUAUUUAAGCAAAUAAUCGUAUCAGACUGAAAAGAAAAAAGAGAACCAACAAAUAAAACUAACAAACUAUAAAUAUUUUAUAUUGUAACGAAGUGCGAUUGUGCGAAGGUUUUUUAUGGAUACAUCAACACCCUAACAAUAAGAUUAUAUAUCAAAAGACGCACGUUAUUUGGGCCCAAACAGCUGCGUACAUUAGUUUGGGUUUAAUAUCUCAUUACAUCUGCAAAUCCAUAGCCUUUUCGUACUAACAAACUCGAGCAAGAUCAUCACAAGCCACCUACUCAAAGUACGCUACGCCAUGAUUAAUUAUUUUGGAAGCCGCAAUCACAGAUUGUAAAGAUGGGGUGAAAGCCUUGGGUGAGCCAGAACCUCAAGUGGGAUCUUUCUCGGAGUAGAAAGCCCAAAAGUUUCCUCCAUAUUCAGCUCCUCAUUGCGCAUAUUUCCUGGCAAUUUCCAUGCAAAUCCAUGCAAAAGAUUAGCUAAGCUUGUUUGAAUCACCUUAAGCCCGAGACUGUACCCCGGACACAUUCUUCUUCCAGCCCCAAAUGGCAGCAGCUCAAAAUCAUGGCCUUUCACGUCAAUUGAUUUUCCAAUAAAUCUCUCAGGAUAAAAUUCAAUGGGGUUUUCCCACAAACCUGGGUCUCUCCCUAUCGCCCAUACACUAACAAGGACUCGAGUGCCUUUUUGGAUGUCGUAGCCGGCUACUUUGGAAUCUUUUCUAGCCGCUCGGGGCACCAGGAACGCACCCACUGGGUGCAGACGCAUUGUUUCUUUAACUAUGGCAUCAAUAAAUGGGAGAUUAACGAUGUCUUUCUCUUCAACCCACCUUUCUUUUCCAAUUACUCUGUCUAGUUCCUCUGUUGCUUUGUUAAAAAUUUCAGGCUUUUUCAUUAAUUCAGAGAUGGCCCAUUCCACCGUUACUGCUGAGCUCUCAGUCCCACCAGCUAUUAAAUCCUGGAUUACACAAGAGAUAAAAGAUUAGAAAUCGUGUGCUUGAACAUAUACUUUCAAGAAUUUUCACACUAAACUUUAGGCACUCACUUGCUAAAUGACUUUGAAAUCAAUCGGUUAUUGAACUAUAUUUUACUUAUGUGGAAACUACGAAACUAUGCAUGCAUUAUAAAAUAAAGUCGUAUGUAUUAGCGAUCAAAUUUCUUUGACGGCCGGUGAACUGAUGAACCGGUAAAACCGACAAGAAAAAUAAAAUUACAUGCAAAAGCAAAAUGAGCCGACGGAGCACACUGGCCUUUUGACAGGUGUAUAACCAUUAGAUAUCAAUUAUAUCUUACUUUGCCAUAAAUAUUAAUAUAUAACCAUUAGAUAUCAUAUUGUCAUCACAAUUAAAUUACCACCACAAUUAUUGUAAGUUCUCUCCACUAUUAUUUUUUUUUUUGAUAAACUGGGGCUCAAUUAAGAGCUAGAGAACAAAACACCGGGGGGGUAGCAACCCCGUACGUGUCAUACAGAAGAAAGGAACUAGCCCCAAUAAGAGGACUAGGGUAAAAAGUAAGGCCAAUAGGCAAAGAAAAAGUAAGAUUCGCCAUGUAUCCAAUUAAAUUACCACCACAACUAUUGUAUGUUCUCUCCACUAUUAAUUUAAUGUGAAUAUAAUAAAUAUUAUUUUUAUUUUAUUUGAAUUAUGCAUAAAUAUAAAUUUUUAUCAUAUUCAUAAAAUAGAUUAUGAUGCUCAUUAGAUUUUAAUUUAAUUAAGUUUUUUGAGAAAAAAAAGGCAUGUCUAAACAAUUUAUUAAACAUACUCUAAAAAUAAAAGGUAAUUUAAAUUUAUAUCUAUUUUGAUCAUUAUAUAAUAAAACGAUACUUUUGUAAUAAAAUUUACCAGAUACAUGUACUAUACUUUUCAAAUUCAUAGCAACUGUAAUAAUACAGUUCACCAAACACUUUAAGUUACUUUUAAUCAGCGACUUAUUUAUUCCACACAGUAAAAACAAUUCAUUUAAUCAGCCACCGCAAUUCCAAACUAACCCUAAGUUCUUUUUGGCAGCCAGCAAUUUGUUGCUACACGACAAUUUGCUGCCAAUAAAUUGAGAUGUCGAUGUUUACCCAAAAUUACGAAAGCCAGUGACUCUUUUCUCUCCAUAUAUACAAAUUAUCCAUGUCAUAAGUGUUUGGAUUUAUAUAGAAGUUGCCGAGAAAUUGGGGGUAAGUGUUGAAUUUGAUGUGAACCACAAAUUUACUUCAUCAGCCAAAAAAUAUUUUAUUUUGAUACCUCUUCCUUUGAAGAAUAAUAAUAAUUAAAGAGAAAAAUGAGUUCACUUGACUUUAGCUAGCUAUGUGCACGUAUAGGCGAAAUCACUUGCAACAGAAAUAUGAAUAAUAAUAAUAAUAAUCAUAACAACAACAACAAUAGGGGUGGUAAAAAUAUCCGCAUGGUCUAGACCCAAACCGCACCCAGGCGAUGUGGACCGGGUAUUACCCGGCUCGAGUAUGAAGUCAAGCUGGUCCUGAGCAUCGCUUGAUAAACCCAGGACCUAAUCCGGAACUCGAAUUUUAUUAAAAAAAUAUUAUAAAAUAUAUAUUAUUUAAAUAUUUAGAUUUAUUUAACUCAUUUAUUACACAUUUAAAAUUUUAAACACUUAAAGUUUAUAUUUUCAUAUCAAAUUUCAUUGAAAUAAAUUUAAAACUUAUAAAAUUAUAAAAAUAACUAAAAAGGUAUACAUAUAUAAUAUUAAAAUACAAAAUCCAAGCGCCCGGAUUAAAACCUAACCCGGUGCCAGGCUCGAGUGCCAAAAAUUUGCAUCCAAGCUGGGUUUGGGCAUUGGGAUAACUGGACCUGGACCCGAAUUUUGCCAACCUUAAAUAAUAAUAAUAAUCAAAUACAGAGUUGAAAAUAUAUACCUGUGUAAAACCUUUCACGCCAUGUCUUUCAAUCUUGACUUCAAGAGUGGGAUCAUCAGCAAGCUGCAAAAGCACAUCCACCAUAUCUUUAGCCACAUAAUUUUCGACCCCUUUUCUUCUAGCGUCAUGUUCAUCCAGCACAUGCUCCAAAAACUUGUCAAACUUCUUAGCCAAAGCCUUCAUUUUCUUUAUAUUACCUUGCAAAUCCAAAAACCCUAGCCAAGGAAUCGAAUCGCCGACAUCUAAAACCCCAUUAAGCAUGAACAAUUCAUCAACCAUUGCCGUGAACUCUUGCGGUGUCACAACCUCAUUUUCGAGCUGCUUGUCUGUGUAUUUCUUCCCCAAAACCAUACGGCUUAUAAUAGCAAGACUCAAAUCCGAAAGAUGAUCUUUCAAUAUAGUUGGCUUGCCGAAUGAUUCAUACAAGCGAUUGAGAAAUAAGUUCAAUUCUUGUACUCUUAUGUACUCAAAUGAUUCGAGGCGUUUAACACUAAACAAUUCCAUUGAACAAAUUUUACGAGCCUGACGCCAGUAUGGUCCAUAAGGUGACCAAGUAAUAUCUGAGUAAUUGAAGGUUGUGUACUUGCCGGCUGCUGUUUUGGGGCGGCCAGAAAACAGUGCAUCUUGGGUUUUGAGGAUAACCUUAGCCAUCUCAGCGGAAGAGCCCACGACAACGGGGAAUGACCCGAAUUUAAGCUGCAUAAUGGGCCCAUAUUUUUCGGACAACGCAUGGAGGGAGCGAUGGGGAAGUGAGCCGAUGAGGUGGAGGUUUCCAAUGAUUGGCCAGGGUUUCGGGCCUGGCGGCAAGUUGAGUUUCCGGCGCCUGAGACGGAGGGAGAGGAGGACCAGGGCAAGGGUUGCUAGCCAAGCGGCCAAGUAGGAAGCCCAAGAGGGAUGAAUGAGCUCCAUAGUUGUAAAACUAGCUUUAGUGUAUCGGAGUGUUGCCUUCAAGUUGAUUAUGGGUGAAGUUACAACUUACAAGUGUUGUUGGUGGGGGCAUUUAUAGUAAGAGAGUGACCAACGCAAGUCUUUGAGAUUUCGAUAUUUUUGUUGACCAGCAUUAUUUUCAUUGGCGUUAUUCAUGCUGUGUUGUUGAUCGGUGACUUGAGAAAUCACCGGUAAAUUAAACGAAAAAUACAUGUAUCUAUCCAUGUCCAUUGACGUAAUUAUUUAAAUGGAUACAUUAUAUUUUCCCGUAGAGUUUCACACGAUUUGGUUUCAAAGACUCAAGAACCAACAGACUUGUCUUGAAGUGUUGGUAGUUAAGAAAGUGAAAGAAAAUUAGUUAGCAAAGUCGUGAAUUUAUUAUCUUUACCAUGAAAGCUUGUGUAGAUCGACCACUUUGUUUCUUUUUGUUUGUCAUGAAAUGCUUGGAAAGCAGGGGUGGUAAAAUAUCUGCUUGGUCCGGAUGUGGGCCACAACCGGACAAUAUGGGCCGGGUACUAUCCGAUUUGGGUAUGAAAUCAGACCGGUCUUAGGCAUUACUUGAUAAAUUCAAGAUCCGGUCCGGAACUCGAAUUUUAUUUUUAAAAAAUUAUAAAAUAUAUAUAAUUAUAAAUAUUUAUAUUUAUUUAACUCAUUUAUUACACACAUUUAAAAUUGUAAACACUUAAAAUUUAUAUUUUUAUGUCAAAUUUUAUUGAAAUAAAUUUAAAAUUUAUAAAAUUAUAAAAAUAUAAAAUUCAGACAACCGAAUUAAAACCCGGUCAUGUACCGGACUUAAAAAUCCCGCCCAAAUAUCUAAAAAUUGCAUCCUGGCCUUGAAAAGUAUACCAUAGAGGGAAGGAAGUGUCAGAGUGGGAAUGACUUGACUGCUGACUCGACUUUUCUUAGAAAAUUAGUGUUGACUCGACUUUUCUUAAGAAAAUUAGUGUUGACUCGACUUUUCUAAAGAAAAUUACAGCCUCUCGCUUUCUCAAUAAUUCAUCGUGUGCGAGGAGAGUAGCUUUAAGAAUGAAUGAAUUUUUCGAUAUUUGACUUGGGUUAAUGAAGCUGGCGGCUCAAUAAUUCAGUGGUUACUGGUUUGUGUUUCAUCCUUUACUUGGUGUUAGUUACGAAAUAUUUCACCUUAACUAACACAGCAAUAUAAUAUCAUGGAUUACUAAUUGAUAGUCAAUGGUAUAAAUCAUUCAGGUUUUAAUGACUUUAUUGUUGGGGGCCCGGGGGGGGGGGGGGGGGGUGGACCUGCACUUAUUAUUACAAUUUAAUUGAGGAUACAUUAAUUGAUAAAUAUUUAGGUUAUAUGCACACAAUAAAUCGUUAGAUUCAACACUCGUAACUUUUUUAGUCUUUUUACAUAAUCCUCCACAAUCUCGGUUGGCUCUUUUGGUUGAUUUAGUGAUGAAUAUGCUGUUCAAAUUUGAGCUGUUGAAACUUCUUAUUUUUAGGAAAAAGAUACUUCGUUUAACUAAAACUUAACAAAAAUAUCACAACCACAAUAUUUUUAUUUGGGUGGAAGAAAAUCACCAUAUAUUUAAAUUAUGUGGACAUCAAACUUCCCAAAUAAUAGUCGAACAAAAAAAAAGUUGUUAAAAUUAAAAGAACAAAAAUUAGAACGGAUAAGUCUCCUAAGAAGCUCCAUUCCAUCUUAAUAACAUGAGAAAACAGUCUUUAGUGGGUUACAAGGAUCAAAUUACCAUUGAUUAAUUAUUGAGUUUAUAUAAAUCAAGCUAGUGCCCUCAUUAGCGUCCUCAACACUGUUGACAGCACUAGCUCACUAUUAAAUAAUAAACCUAAAUGGAAACUGACGAGAACUUAGAUUUUAGUGUUGAUACGAACUUAGCUAAAUUUUUUGGAGUAAUGUAAUUAAUAGUUAUUAGAUAAAAAAAUAAUAUGUAACUAAAUUCUAAACGUAUAUUAUUAUAAAUAUAUAUGUGGCAUAAUAUUAUAAAAGAAAUAAAUACAAUUCAGAUCAGCAUGGAUCCUAAUUUCAAAUGAGAAAUACAUAUCUAUCAUUCGUCCACUUGGAAUUUCAUAAAAGCUUGUUAGAAAGUCAAGGGUUGAUAAUGAUAAGAAUAGGUGCAUCAUAAAUUUGAAUUGAUCAUACUAGUCAUCUAAUAUGCGAAGCUUUUCCGUGAUCAAUUAUUAAAUAUUUUGGUACAGAGAAUCAAUUUCGGUCCAAAAAUGAAAAACAAUUUCGAGCACAUGAAUCACACAUUAUGAUGCCAACAAAUGAAAUGGCGAUUCACUACCAGACACAAAGUGACAUCACCUUCAUCUAACAUUGAGUGAUUAAGAUGAAUGUAUAAUAGGGUGAUAAUUUGGUCAAAUAAAGCAAAGACAAUUAAGAAGUAAAAAGUGCCACAGCUAGCAUCAGUCGUUUAAUUUAGGCUAUAAACUCAAUAGUUAUUUCUAGUACUUGAUGAGAUGGGAAAGUGAUUCAACGUUUUUGUUACAAUAAUCAGAAGCAUUAUUGAAAGAGCAAGUUGUUUGUUUGUGGAAUCAUAAUCGAUAAGAUCUCAUGCGAUCGACUAAUAUUUCACAUUCUCCUUAUUAUGAAUAUACUUUUUCAUGUGACAUUAUUUUAGAAAGCUGUAUCAUGUUUUGGGUCACAUUUUAAGAAAACUUACCUCUAAAAAUGAAGCUGUUGUUUUGAUCCUUUAAGUGUCUUCUUUACUAAAAGUAAAUCUUAAAGUUGAACUUCCAAGAAGAUUCGCAAUCUCAUUUUUAGUUAUAUUAAAAGCUUUAGUUACAUUGCACUUCCUUCGACCACACCUCAAAUUAAACAUAUCUUCUUAUACUUAUUGAAUCCUUGACCUCUUGCUUUUGUUGUAAAAGAUCAACGAACUAAUCUCUUCUUUAAUUUGGGGAUAUUCAUUUGAUUUAAGUAGACAUAUAUCACGGGAUCAGUUUAUUGCACAGCAAUCCGUGCAGUACUUAACAACUUUUAGCACAAAAAUUGCUAAGUAAGCCUUAUUAAACUUCUCAAGCUAGCUGAGCAAGAAUGCUUUGUGAGAAAACUAAAGAGAAGAGAGCGAGCAAUAUAACCAAAGAGUAUUUUAUUACUCGAAGGAGAAAAUACAAGAGAGCUUUUUACAAAAGUGCUUGAGUUGCUUGGAGUGUGAUAUUUUGUGUGUGUGUGUGUGUGUGGUGUAGUGUUGAGCAAAAUAGAGAGUGGCACCCCCUAUUUAUAGAGGUGCUUGCCUAAGUCUAGAUCCAUCUACAUGAGUGGUGCAAGUUGCCUAAAUAUCUCCUAAGUUUUAGAGAGGUCUAGGUAUAUAUAAGUGUGGAAAUAUCUAGACAAUACAAGUAGUAGAGAGUUGCAGAGAUUUCUAGAAAUCAGGUUGGGCUUGCUCGCUUUGGGCUUGCAAAUGUGGAUUGUUCACUUGCUAAGCACACCACAGCUUGCUAGUUGUAUGAUGCAACCCAUUAUUGAGUGUACCCUGCUGUUGAGCGCAUCCUUCUAUUGGGCGGACUUUUAUUGAGCAAACCCAUGCGCGAAUUUAACCUUCCUUUGUGACAAAUUUGGGCAGCCCGUGACACAACUAGGCAUGUUGUUGAUGCUUAUGUAGGAGCACGAAGAGACUAGAGACGCAAUUUAAAAGGCAAAUUUUCUUUACAAUAGGGUUGUUUUAGUAAUUCUCUUAAAAAUGAAUUUUUAAUUCAAAUAUAAAUGUAAUAUGGUCUAUUAGAGCUGAAAAACUGGGUCAUUGGAUCAUAUUUGUGUUGUGCUGGUUUCGUGUAGUGUCAGCUUUGUGUUGUGUCAAAUUUAAGUAUACCCAAACAUGACCCAUUUCUCAUCAAAGGGAGGGCGAUUGGGCACAUAACCACCAUAUGGGCACUGUCCGAAAUUGAGUGCAGCGUGCUCUGCAGAUGCGAGCCAGAUGAUUUUAUUUAGGAUAGAGACUAGAUCAUCACCGAUGGUUAAUGUGGGCCACCAGCUUUCGUGACGAAGAUCGGCAUGGCCUACGUUGAUGGACUCAUUGUACCAUGAUUUUAGCUCUUUGUCGUCACAAAUUUUGGCUUGAAUUUGGGUAGUAAUGGAUCACAUAAGUGCGCACCCAAUCCUCAAUUGCUGACCAAAUUAGAAGCCCGUCUGCUGCGAAUGGGUAGUCCUCAAUCAGCAACUUCAAACCAUCUGGCUGUGUUGGGUCAGGUACUGCAAUGCCUCUGCAAAAUGAAAAGAGAAACCUCGUUCAGAUGAACUGAUCGACAUUUUAAUACACUAAUAUAAGCAAUGAACAUGUCAGAGAAAUAGUAUAGACGCAUGCCCAUUUUCUUUUACCUAUAAAGUUUUUCAAAUUCAUUAUAAAUAUGUUCCAACUUGCAUGGCAUAAACUAGGUAAUCUUUACUAGUGUUUACCUGCGGAUGAGAUCAGCGGGGAGGCCUUCCUUGUCAAACCGCCAACUUUUAAACAUGGAGGCGCUGAUUUCCAUGCCGUAGCUAGCGGCCAGGAGUGAAGCAAGACUCAAUCACACCAUCGGCAUUGAUUAAAUUUUUCCUAGCUAGAGCAUUAAUCUCCAACGUGUAUCUCAUAUGCGGAUCCAAAAGCUUGUAUAUUGGGUGCAUUGCACUCAAUUGUCUAUGUGCUGUAAGAAUAAAUGGCUCCAUGCAUGCAUGCGUACGUACCUAUACAAUCAACACAUCAUUUCAAUAAUUUAGCCAACAUAAAAAUGGAAAAUAAAAUGCCAUAAUUUUGAUGAAAGCUGCGAGCAAUCAAAUUGAUUUAAUAUGCUUACCACUGUUUAUCGAGUUGGUGCACCCUGGCAUCGUUGGAGCAGACAUGGGCCCUGGCAAGCUGCCAAAGCCAAUUGGAAGUGGCGUCGACGGGUGGCUUGAGCACGCGCUUUGAUCGGGUCCAGACGGUAGGAGGCUGAGCUCAAUGGCGAUGGGCUUAAGAGGGCCAAGAGAAUUCAAGAAAAAUAUUGUACGAGUUGCGUAAGCUUUUCUACCAUCAAGUGCAUUUAUUUUGUCUAGAAAUGGAAGGUAAAUGUCAUGGCAAUCCAAUACGUACAAUUUGUUCUCCUUCAAGACCUGAAAAAGAAAAUAAUAAAAUUGGCCCUUAGUAGAAUUUAAUGUGACAUGCCAAUCGAGUAUCGGAGAUCAAAUUAAGAGAGGAUAUAAAUUCAAAUAGAAGACUUUUUAUUAGUUACCUGUUGCACGGCAUGCCAUCGAGUUGGCCUAUGAUGUGUUCUUCUUUCAAUGCGGAUUCUUGUGGACCGUAGAUCUCAGGAUCAAGAUUGCUUACAGGUGGGAAAGCCUGAAGCCCUUCAGUCGUGACCGGGUUAACUCCAGCUAAAGCUUGACGGGCAAAUUCGUCAUCUCGCAACCAAGCAAAUUUAUCCCCUGCAAAUGUGGAUCACAUGCGUUGGUUUUGUGAAAGUGAUCUUGGCUUUUUAUUUAAGGAAAAUGAUAAACAAACUAAAAGAAGACUAAAGGACGACAGAAACGCAACGUGGGCUUGCCGUUUCACGCGUUUCCUUAGUCUUUUUUUAGUUUUGUGUGGGCCCAUAAUAAAUAAUAAAAUAAAAAAUUUAGAAAUGAAAAGCAAGUCAAAUUUCAGUUUUUUAUAUUUUCCUUAUAUGUUAUCUCCUCCCUCCCCAACCACUCAUUUUCCUUAGUUUACUCCCCCUCCACUCAUUUUCCUUGUUUGGAAACGUUAGCACUUCGUUAAUCCCCGCUUCUUGUUCUCGCCUAGCCGCUUCUUUUUUCUUUUUUUUUUCUUUUGAUUUGCAACUUCAUCCCCAUCAUUUGCAGCCAUUUGCUUUGUUACCGGACAACGACCGCUUCUUGUUCUCGCCCAGCCCCUUCUUUUUUUUUUUUCUUUUGAUUUGUAACUUUAUUUGAAUGUAAUGAGAGUCACCAACUUACCAAUUAAUCAGUCCAAUUUUAUCAAGUUGCCUCUGUUUGCAGAUCCAGAUCUAACUUCUUCCUUAUGGCCGCUUUUUUUUUUUUUUUGGUUGCUGAAAUCGAGCGGUUGGAAAUGCAGAAAUUGCAUGUGUGAUAAGCGAGAUGCAGAGAGAUAGAGAGGACAAGGAACUGAUUUUUUCUUGUUAAAUGCAGAUGGCUCACGUUAAAUGAGAGGUGAGAGAUGGAGAGAGAGAGAGGACAAGAAGAAAAAUUGAUUGUAAAAAAGUGAUGCUAUUGUUAAAUGCUAUAUUCACUCACGUGCCAUGUUUAAUUUAAUUUUUUAAACUGAUUGUGGCUCUUGGUUUUACUUUAGUUUUCUUCUGUUAAUACAAAUGUAGAUCGAGUUGAGUUUGUCUGGUUUGGCUUCUUCGUCGGGUUUGAGUGAUAAUGGCAAUUUUAACUUUUUGUCAACUUUCUUAUUUUGUCAUCUCAUUUUCGUUAUUUUUUGUUUUCUUUUCAUUAUUUUAAUAUUUUCUUUUGAUUAUUUUAAUAUUUUCUUUUAAUUAUUUUAUUUUUUAAAUAAAAAAAGCAACAGACAAAAGGACCCACGAAAACGGCAGUGGACGCUGCCGUUUCUGUCGUUCCUUUGUCGUCCGUUAGUUCAAAUAGCAUGACUCUUUAUUUAAAUAAUAAUUUUCAUUCCAUUACUGGAAAAGAAAGGAAGUAAACAAAUUAAAACCAUCGUGCAAUUAUACCCACGUGUUAAAUAUGUGCAAGCUCAUAAAGCACUUUGCAUGCAAGGAAAGUGAUAGGUGACACUGGAAUCUAGAGGUGGGUCAUUUUGCUCCUUUCUCUAAGGCAAAUUAUAAGCUUAAGAAAUUAAUAAUGAUUUCCUCUUGUUUUGCAAAAGCAACUACUAGCACAUGAAGUUAUUUUAUAUAUAUAUAUAUAUAUUCAUAGAUUUGACAUUCUCAUUUGUCCCCCACUAGUAAUAUGGAGCAUCAUCAUGAUCCCACUAAAAAUCACGAUAUUUAUUAUGACAAAGAAAAUUGCCUUCGCAUAGAUUAGUAAAAUUAUAACACCAAAAAAAAAAAAAAAAUGUAAGGUCUUCCAUAUGCCUAUUCUAAGGUAAAGUUUAGAAGAUGCAUAAAAAAAAAAAAAAAAUCCAUUGAUUUUAUGUUAUUUUAUUAGAGUGUAAUUAACUUCAAUUUCUUAAAAAAAAUUGAAAUUUAAAAAUUUUUCUUUCUUAACGUAUGUUCUUAGCGUACACGAAUGAAUGAAAUUUUAUUUUUAAUGAAUAAAUAUUUGAUUAAAAAAAAAGGGGAGACUGAGUACUUACUGGAAAGAAUCUUGAGAGUGUUAUAUUUGAGGAGACCUUGGCUAGAUUCUUGAAUUUUGCUACAUUCGGCAAUGGGUGCUUUUUCAGAAACCCAUUUGUCUAAUAUCCGAAAAGCCACUAAAAUCACGAUUAUGAACAGAAAUGCUGGCUUUUAAUAAAGGGAUUAAGUUGCGAAGCGCGGCUUUAAGCCUUCCAGCUGAAAAUGCAUCUUGCUUGGACUCCUCAAAUUGUUCAUCUCUAGGCACGUACAUUGGCAGUGGCUUCUCUAUACGGCUCUCUGCAUGCAUAUCUGCCGAAUAUGCAUCCAAUGGACGCGCGUUAGAUAUACAAAUACACACACACUCAUCAUGAUUCUGAUCUUACAUACUUUCGGUUUAAGAAAGAUUUUCUUUCUAUGAAUUUCCUUUUACCUGUAUCAGUUGGAAGGCGACCGGUACGACACCGUCUUGGGUAUGGUCUUUGUUCACCACCAAGAGUUGGUCUAACAAAUUCACUUCCUCUAUCUGGGUUUCCCAGAUCAUUGAAUACAAAAUGCACUGGUGAAUAUUGGAUCCCUGUCAAAUACUACCACAAGGUGCUGUAUUCGCUAUUUCCCAGUUACUACCACGCUGGCUUGAGGUGAUUAAAGAAGAGGUUGUUGUUAAACCAACAUUACAGGACUUGAAAAAAAAAAAAUCCAGCAAGGGGAAGCAUUGGGACCGUGGAAGCUGAAUAUAUAAUGGCACUAUAUUCUUUAAAGAUCGUAUUUAUCUAUUGGAGGAUUCAAAAUUUGUGACAGCCAUCAUCAAAGAAUUUCAUGGAAGCACUUACGAAGGCUAUGAGAAGACUUUAAAACGCAUCAAGGCAAAUUUUUAUUGGAAGAACAUGCGGAAGCAGAUUAAGGCGUUUAUAUGCAGUUGCGACAUUUGCCAACGCCACAGAAUAGAGCAAUUGGCUCCUGGUGGGUUGUUAUAUCCCUUGCCAGUUCCACAAGUCUGGGAAGACAUAUCCAUGGACUUCAUCGAAGGGUUGCCGGCAUCCAACAAUAAAACAACAAUCUUUGUAGUUGUUGACAUGUUAUCUAAAUAUGCUCACUUUAUUCCUCUAGCUCAUCCUUAUACAGCUGUGGGAGUAGCCAAAUUGUUCUUUGAAAAUGUUUUUAAGCUUCAUGGUCUUCCAAAGUCAAUUGUAUGUGACAGGGAUCCAAUAUUCACCAGUGCAUUUUGGAGGGAGUUAUUUCGGUUAAAUGGGACUUCUUUCAAUUUUAGUUCCAGCUAUCAUCCUCCGACUGAUGGGCAAAGUGAAGUUGUGAACAGAACUCUAGAAAUGUACUUAAGGUGCUUCAAAAGUUCAAAGCCAAAAGAUUGGAUGCGCUGGCUUCCGUGGGCUGAAUAUUGCUACAACACAAGUUGGCAUUCAACUAUAAAAUGAACUCCUUUUGAAGUUGUUUAUGGCAGGAGCCCUCCUAGAUUGUUAAGUUACAUUCCUGAUACAGCUCGGGUGGAGGCGGUGGAAAAAGAACUCUUAUAGAGAGAUAGAGUUCUUAAGACAGUACAGGAAUGUAUACAACGUGCUCAGGACAGAAUGAAAAAAGUCUAUAAUUCUAAACACGGACAAAGAAUUUAAUGUGGGGGAUUAUGUGUACUUAAAGUUGCAGCCUUACAGAUAGAUGUCUCUUAUUGGAAGGAAAAAUUUCAAGCUUUCGGCUCGAUUUUAUGGCCCAUAUCAGAUUUUGGAAAGGAUUGAAAAGGUAGCAUGUCGGCUUAAGCUUCCACCUUCAUCCAAGCUACAUCCAGUAUUUCAUGUUUCUAUGCUCAAAGCAAGGAUUGGUCAAGAGUGUGAGGCACUUGAAGAUCUUCCUGAGUUGAACCAAAAAGACGAGUUAGUCCCAACUCCACCAGCGUUACUGGACCAACGAAUUCGAAAGGGAAGAAAAGAAGUUCUAGUUCAUUGGAAAUGGUUGUCGCCAGCAGAGGCUACAUGGGAAAUCCACUAGUUGAUUCAAGAAUGUUAUCCAAACUUCAUCCUUGAGGACAAGGACAUUCUUUAAGGGGUGGUAGAUAUUACAAUCUAGUUUAAUCCUAUUUGAUUUAGUCAAGAAUAAAUCAGUUUAUUUGAAUUAGAAUAAGUCAAGUCAAAGAUGGUUAGUAAAGUGGGCACAUUGUUAGCUGCUUUGCUAAUUUUUGUUCCUAGUUUUGCUCAUGACAGUUGUAAUGCAUUUGUAUAUAAACAACAUUUGGCAUGAAUAAAAUGUAUCGUACAAGCUUAUUCACUCUUAAUUGAGUCAUGGGAGGUGCUAACCCCUCGAAAAGUUAGCGAAUUGUGCUUGUAUUCUUUUUUUUUUCCCUUAAACAAACAAUUGUCUGAGUCACAGAGUCAUGUGGUAUUUACAUCCAAAUGAUACUAUUAUUAUAGAAGAUUGUCAAUUUCUUCCCCAUUAAAAUCAAUAUAUACCAUUUACUCGCUAUUAUCUUUAUAAUAUUUAAAACCCUUUUUGACACCAAAAAAUUUAAAAGAAAAAGAGGAGUAAAUGAGUCAUUUAUUUGAUAAUUUGUCUUGAAAAUAAAUAUAUAUUAAGAAAAAUAUCUUAUUAUUAAUUUUUUUAUUCACAUAGAUACAUAUAUUUCUUAUUUUUAGUACUUAAAUUUAUUAUUUUAAUUUCUAUUUAUAUGAUUUAUUUAAUUUAUAAUAAAUAUGAAUAAAAUAAAUGUGAAAAUAAAUGUAAUGUUGUAAACUUAUGCUACUAAGAAGGUUAUUUGUUAUUAUGAAAAUAGUAAAGAUAUAAGAGGUAUAUUUUUAUUUUAAUAGGAAGGAAACUGACAAGCGACAAUCUUUCCUUAUCUAUAUAAAAAUAUUGUGAUUUUAGCAUUACAUUAAAUAAAGCCAUCUUGAAAAUUAUUAUGUGCUAGUCAUAAACACAGUAAAUAAAUUAAAUAACAAAAAUAAAAUGAGUAAUGAUACAGCCACAAAUUCUUGUAUAAACUUAUUUUGUACAAAUUAAUUUGACAUUAACAUAUUGGUUGAAUAAAAAUACAAAAUAAUAAAAACAGAUCAUGUGGAUCAAGAGAUAUCUAAUUCAACCAAUUAAAUCAUGCCACAUCAGUUUAUACAAAAAAAAAAAUUGUACAAGAGUUUGUAACUAUAUUAUUACGAGUAAUGAUAUAGUCAUAAACUUUUGUACAAAUUGAUGUGGUAAAAUAAAAUUAGUUGAAUUAAAUACCUCUUGGUCUACAUGAUUUAUUUAUAUUAUUUAUAUUUUCAUUCAACCAAUGAAUUAAUGUCACAUUAGUUUGUAUAAGAUAAGUUUGUAUAAAAGUUUGUAGUUGUAUCAUCACUCUAUUAUUACUCAAAUAGAAUAUGCUCUCAUACUACUAUUCUUUGGUUCAUGUCUUCACAAAAUUAAGGGAUCAAUAAAUAAAAUAUUGACUAAUUAAAAAAAAUAUAGUAUAAUAUACAAAAAAAUAUAUAUAAUUAUUAAUAAAUUAAUAAAUCUAUCCAGAAAAUAUUCUGGGGCAUGUACCCUGUAACCUCAAAAAAAAAAAAAUCAAGUAAAAUUAAGAUAAUGUUCCUCCUUUCAAAAAAAAAGAUAAUGUUCCUCUUCAACAGGACCAAAAUUUUUAGAAGCAAGUUGCAAAACUGCCAACAGACUUCUGUGACCCACAGAAUUCUUUGUAGAAUAUUAAAUGAAGCUAUAUUUUAGUUCAAUUCAAAUCUUUACAUAUGUAUUGUAUUAAAUAUGACUCUUACUACGUAAAUUCAAUAUAUAAACAUACAAAUGACUCUUACUGUAUGUACAACUUAAUAAGAACACAUUUAAGUGUCAUAGCUAGCAGUUGACCAGCAGCUUUUUAGUCCCAUUGAACUCUGGCCAAAGAAAAAGUAAGGAAUCGAUCCAUCAUAUUCAAAUAAUUUCAGUAUUUGACAAAAACUUCCUCUCUGGUCCAAUUAAAAUGUAGGCAUCACUUAAUCGUAUGUGUCAAUUGUCAAACUUACAAAAUAAAUGUCUAAUUAGGCAAAUUAUGGUCGUUGCGUCUAAAAGAACAACAUCGUUACUAGAGCUGGCAAAAUGGGUCAUCGGGUCGUGUUUAUGUCGUGUCAGCUUCGUAUCGUGUCAAAUUUAGGUCGACCCAAACCCGACCCAUUUAAUAAUCGUGUCAAAAUAUUGAGACACAAACCCGACAUGGAAAAAUAAUCGGGUUAUCCAAUAACCCAUUUAAUAUCUAUAUAUUGAACAAAAGUUACAUAAAAUAUUUACACACUAUCAUACAUACGUAUGUACAUAAAUACAUACAUACAUACAUACAUAAUAUAUCAAUAUUAUAAAAUAUAUAUAUCUACCAAUAUAUUACACAUUUACACUAUUGAGGUUUUAAUUAUAUAUAUAUAUAUAAUAUUAUUUAUUAAUAUUAUAAAAUAUACAUGUCUAUCAAUUUUUACACAUUUACACUAUUGAAGCUCUAAAUGUAUGUAAAAUUUUAUAAAUAAAACAUUGUGUUUAUAUUCACCCUUCUAAAGAAUAAAAAAAAGAAAAUCAUCUCUAAUAUUUGAGUUUUAAUUAUAAGAAUAUGUAAAUUAUUUUAAAAUAGAAAAUAUAAUCGGGUCUUUGAUCGGGUAAAUGGGUCAAGAAUUUUAACCCAAACCCGACACGGAAAAAAAUCGUGUUAAUCCGGACCCGACCCAUUUAAUAAUCGUGUUAAAUUUGACGACCCAUACCCAUUUAUUUAUGUCGUGUUCGUGUCGGAUAAUCGAGUCGUGUCAAAUUUUGACAGCUCUAAUCGUUACUUUGUUUUAUUUUAAUUUAUCUUUUUUUUUUUCAUUUAGUUAGGCGGAUAAAUUAAUGACAAGAAAAAGCAAAACGAGCCCUCGGUCAAGUCCCGCUGUACAUUUAUCUAUUAUCUAGGGUGAUUUCGUAAUUACGCAGUCAAUAAUGUUAAAUGCUUUGAGGCACCCAUUUAUUGAGAAGUAUAAAGCUCCAUCAAAAAUCCGCUGAGACUUGCCCUCAUCUAAUCUACCAAGUCUCAUAAUCUUACAAGGAGAAUUAACCCCUCAACUUCAAGAAUGAUAUGAGGAUAUGCGAAUUAUCGAGCAAAAAGAACGUGGUUAGCCUCUUUAAUUAGUAAUCAAUUAAUUCUCAUUUAAAAUAGAUAAAAUUUACUUGCGCUAAUUAGCUAAAUCCAUAAAAUCUCUUGAACAGAUAUAAACUAUUUGAGAUCCAAACUCACUCAUAUUAUGAUAUCAAAAUUGUGGUGAUUAUAAGAUUUAGAAGUUUGAAUAUUGGAUCCCGCGAUAAUAGACUUUCAACAAUUUUUUCAUUUAAGAGACUCCUGAGCAUGUGUGUGCAUGUCACCUAAUUAUUGACUAACAUUUCACAGCUUGGUCAAUAAUUAAGUGACAUGUGAUCCAUCACGCACAAUAACAUAUGCAACGGUGCUCACUUGAUCAUAUUUAUCGUUCACAAAGUUAUAUAUGUUUCAAUUGUUUUUCACCAUUAAUUGUAUUCUUAUCACGUAAUUAAAGGUAAACAUGACAUGAAUCAAUUACACACACGCCAAAAGUAUUCCAAAAUCUUUAAAGUAUAAGUUAAAUGAGGAUAUAUAAUUAUGUUUAAAAAAGAAAAUUAGUUUUGGGUAAUUUUUAUCAUAUAAUAAUUAUUUCAGAAUUUUCAAUUUCUUCUGUUAGUAAGAAUAACAACACCACACGAUUGAUUCACGUUCUUGAUUCGCAAAGCCUUUAGGUCUAUUUUGAAAAGGAAGACCACAUUAAAUAAUUUGUUGGCCAGAAAAUCAAACAUUACUGAACAUAAAAUUGCACACCGACCACCAAAAACCCCAAGAGAAAAAUGGGAAAAAGUAAAAUAAUAACCGAAAAAUAAAUCAUCAACAUUGAACAAAGUUGCCCACAAAAUAUCCUCCGGCCAUUCCAAUAGACAUUUUUUUCCAAAUAAGGUGGAAUGCGCUCCACUUAUUUUGUCAAACACGUUACAGUCAAUGCGUGGCCCACCAAUUAUCGUACGCAAUGUAGCUUUUGCCGAAUUAUCGAAACCCAUCACCCCCUCGAAAUUAAAACGCUUGGCCUUAGUUUUGCAUGUAAAAUUUAUUUAAUCAAUUAAACUUACUUAAUAUUAUUUAUAAUUGGUUAAUAAAGUAGAAAAGUUGAACGACAACCAUAAUAACCACCGCCGAUCAUGACAUCUCAUCGUCCGUGGCAUAAUUUUGGUACCUAUUGACACCAAUUUUGGUAUCAUUGGAAUCCACAUCGCUGGAACUAUCCAAUGGUACAUAAAUUGGCGGAAAUAAAGUUUCUGUCCAUUGUAGAUCAUAGGCGAUUUUUCUCCUAAAUAAUUUAGGGUCCCAUUAUAGAUAAAAACUCCUAAUUUUAUUUUUAAAUUAUAGUUAUUAAUUAUUUAUUUGUAUUUAUUAUUGUUUAUAAUAUAUAUUCUCUAUAAACAAACCACUAAAUCCUUACAAAAUCCCCUUUUAACAUUAUAAUUAACAAUUUUAAUCCCAUUUAUUUUCUCUAUAUAUUUCAUCUAAAACUCUAUAAAGGCCACAUAUUUUUUAAAAUUAUUGUCCAUUAAUAUCUUUUUCCAAUAAAAAAAAAAAAUACACGAAUCCUUCACUACUCUGGUAAAAAAACUAUUUUCUCUACUCUACUUUUCACUUAAGAGAAAAAAAAUCAAUGGUUUUACUAUCCAUUGAUCACUACUACUCAAAGCCUUAAUUCAUUAAAGUUAAAGUUUUCAAAUUUCUAGGAUCUACCUUUCCAUUCUCUUAAUAAUUAAUUAUGUUAUUAAGUUGUUUUUGUUUCUUUUUAAAAAUAUUAUUGUGUUCAUAGGUUGUUUUCUUGUAAUUAAUUAUCUAGCAUAUAAUUGUUUGCUUAAUUACCCUUGUUUCACUAGGAAAAAAAAAGUCUACUAAGAAAAUUUGCAUUAGGAUACAAAAAAAAACUUCAAAAACAAGAGAAGAAUAGAAAAAUUAGUUUAAUCUAAAAAAAGAGCCAUUGAUAAAAACUUAUUUAAGAUCAACUAUGUCAUAAAAAAGAUUAAAUAGGUUAACUAUAUUGUCUAUUGAGAAAGAUAUAUUAGGAAAAUUAGAAUAUAAAAUUUUGAUUAAUAAUUAUGCAUUUCAGAAGCUAGAGAAAUUGAUUUUAAAUAAAUAAAAUUAAUACAUACAUUUUACCUCAAAUUUUUUGGAAGGCCUAAUUAAAAUAAUUUGCCUAAGGCCUAAAAUAUGAUUGAGCCGCCCCUAUUGUAGAUUUACGGUCAAAAUUUUGAAUCUCAAAACUUUGACCGUAUGUUUACAAUUAAUGGAAACUUUGUUUCCAAUAAUACAUGUAUUGUUGCAUAGAUUCGGCGAUAAUAAUUUCAAUGGUAUAAAAAUGUGAUCAAAGACGGUAGUUUGAGUGGUCACUAGUGGGUAAUUAUAUAAAAAUUUAAAAUAAUAGAUUUAAUAAAAAUAAAAAUGAAAACUUCUAAGAUGUUAAUAAUUAUAAAAAAAUUAUUUAAUAUUAUUAUAAUAAUAUAAAAUAUUAUUAUAUGUGAUAUCAUACAAUGUAACAUCAAAUAUUACACAAUAUUAAAAUAAUGAGCUAUUAAUACAAUACAUCCUAUAUUAAAUAAUACAAUAUAUUAUAAUAUAAUAUAUUGUGGCAAACCCAAUAUACUGUAGAACGAAUACGCGCCUGGGGGCUGUGGUAGCCUGGUAGGUAUCCACAGUGAUGGUAAGGACCCACUGGGGAUUGACCUUGAAUUUUUUAUGAUCAUCUUCUAAAGUCCAAUCGUGCAACCACCACUCAGAUUUAAAUAUGUUGUGGAUGGAAACUAUGAAUCGGAGGGAAAAUAUUUGCAAAUUAUCAAUUCACACUUCUUUAUCAAUUGAUAUUCUUAUCAUUGGCAGCAAAACUUUUUGUUUCGUAUAAUAAAUUGUGCGAGUUCUUCUAUUGAAUUUAAGAGUUUUUCGUUUUUCAACAAUUUCGUAAAGAAUUAUCACUCUUUUCAAAUAUCAACAAAUUUCUAAUUUUAAUAGUUGAAGUUAAUAAUUCGAAUCUUCUCACGUGUCAUAUAACAAAUUUAUUUGUUUGUCCAUUAAAAUUAUUAUCUAUUUUGCAAUCUUUGUUUUCCAAUCUUAUUAAUGAAAGCAUUAUAACCCAAAAGAGAAAUAAUAUAAUAUAUUCUCAACUCUUUCUUUUGUCUAAUAAUUGUCAUCUCUUUAUUUAUUUAUUUAUUUUUUGAAUGAGAACUAUUACUUAUGAUGACAUUUACAAUCAUAUAUAUACUGAGAUCCGUUUACAUCAAUUCUGAUAUGGCACCGCUCAGAUUUUUAACCCUCUCAAAUAUUCGAGGGACGUCAACUCCCAUUCUGGGAGAAAGACUGCCUUCACUCAAGCUCUGGGGCUUCAAGGAAGGAAAUUGAAAUUAAACCUCUACAAUGCGUCUGCGGAGGCUCGAACCACUUCCCUCAUAUUUGUGAGGGAGUGACUCUGGCCACUUGGGCUAAGCCCAAGUGGUUGUCAUCUCUUUAUUUUAUCAUUGAAAUUCAGAGUUUGAGUCUUCCCAUGUGAGGUGAAAAAUAAAAUUUUUGUUAUAUUUCUGAUGAAGCAAAUCCUUAACACACUCAAGCUUUAUAAUUUAUUUUAUAAGAAAACUUGUACAAUGACGUGAUUAAAAUUACAACAUCAAUAUUAUAAUAAAUAUAAAUUUUUUAAAUUAUGUAUAAAAUUGAUAAAUAAAAGGUAAAAUGAAUAAACUAAUGUAUGAGUGGUAAAUAGGUGUUUUAAAGUUACAAACAAAACAAACACUUAUAAAAAUAACAUAAAUUUUGUAAAUAAGCAUUAAAAUUUAAUUAAAGAAAAAAUAGUUUAUCCACUUAAUUUAAUUAAGAAAAGAAAAAAAAUCACUCAUCAAUUGAAAAUAAGAAAAUUGUAUUGAGAACAAUUGGAAUAGAUUUUAUUGAAUUGGUAUAACUAUAAAUUCUAUAUUCAUCCUAGGAUAUUUAUAAUUUUUUUUCUAUCAUAAUAUUUGUUUACUAUAUAUGUUAAUUAAGAAAAACUAUUUUUCCUUAUGUAGAUCAAGCCAAAAUAAAAUAAAAUGACAUUCUUAUAUUACUAGACAUAUAUGAUAUAUCUACUAAAUUGGAUAUAAAUUUCAGUUUUAUACAUAUUUCAUGUAGGUUCAAACUUUGUUUCUUACUUAUAUUUAUUUGGUGUUGCUUUUGAAGAGCUUUAGAAUAAUACAAAAUUACCUUAUCUUAUAAAGAGCUUCAAAAAACAUGAAACGAAUAGUUUUCAAAUCUAAUUUUGAGAAAAAUUUUAUCCUUAACAAAAUUUCACAUAAAUCAUCACAUGAAUUACAUAAAUCCAAAAUUAUCAUUAUUCAAUUUAGAAAUAAAAAAAGUAUAAGGUAAUUAUAAUUAUAAUGAGUUUUUAAUUUACAUUUGUAAGUUUUAUUUUUUCAAUAACUAUUAUAUUAAUUUACUUCUAUUACAAGUCUUAGUUUUUAUUUAUAUAAUUUAUAUUUUAUUUUACACUUAAUAUUGAUUUACAAUUUUUAUAUUAUAUCUGCAAGUUUUUGUGUCGUUCACCAAUAAUGCACCAAUUUACCACUCUUAUAUUAAUCUACUUGUCUUAUCUUCCAUUUACAAGUCUUAUAUUUCAUUUAUUUAAUUUAUGUUUUGUUUUACACUUAUUGUUGAUUAAUAAGUUUUAUAUUAUAUCUAUAAUGUUUUAUUUUGUUUACUAAUAAUACAAUAAUUUACCACUAUUAUGUUGAUUUUACAUGUUUUACCAUUUGUUUACAAAUCUUAUGUUUCGUUUAAGUUGAGGGGGGAAAAAAAAGCAAACAAAACAAGAGAAAAGAAGAGAGGGGAAGAGAGAGAACACGUGCAAGAGGAAAGAGAAAAUAUAAGAGGGAGAAAGAUUUAGGGUAGGGACAACAUAAAGGGAGAAAAUAUUAAAAAUUUUAAAUAUUUAAUUCAAUAAAUUUUCUCUAUUAAUUUAAUUUAAAUCCAAUGAAUAUCAAUAAAUGUAAAAUUAAGGGUAUUUUUUAGGGGCUGCUGAUCAUAUGUGUGUGUAUUAUUAUUUAAUAUUUUUACUUAUUUAUUUUUUAUUGCAUUGUAAGUUUACUAAUGUUUACAACUCAAACUGUAUCAAAUCAAAAAAAUUGUCCUCAAUUUUUAUUACACGUGAUCAAAUCUACGAUAACGCGGUUGAGAUAAUUAAGUCUUUGAGUGGGCCCAACUCUUCUUCUAAAUGUCUUUCCCCUAGUACUCACAAAGGUGAGAAGUGAGGUUGCUUAUCACCAUCAAACUAUCAAUAUAUUAUUAUUCAAUCACUCAAUAAAAGAAAAAAAUAUUAUAAAAACCACCCACUUCUCAACUAUUAAGGUGAGGGGAUGUUUGGUUAAUUUUUAAAAUAAGAGUGGGAAAUAGUCAAUUUUACCCAAAAGAGAAUGGGAUCUUGCUUGGUUUCUUCUUCACAUAAUGCACUACAAAUAACUUGCAGCUAGCUAUGAUAAGUUUCGUUAAGAAUACAAAUUAAACCAUAAUUAUGAACAAAAAAAAAAUGGGUAUGAAAAUACAAAAACAUCUGGGUAACAAUGAAUAAUUUAUAAUAAAAUAAAAGAUAUUUUAUUUUUUUAAACCUUUUACCAAAAUUUUAUAAUUCAAUUUUUUUUGUUAACAAAAAGAUCAUGAAAAUGCUCUCUAGCCUUCGCUUUCUCUUUGAGUCAAAUUGGUGAGAAAUACUGUAACAGCACGCUCGGCUUAAAUAAUUAAUCCAGCGGAUGGAGGUUGCCAAAUUUAGGAUUUUAUUUUAUUUAAUAGCUAAAGUCAUCCACAUUUGUUAUACUUUAAACAAAAUUUCUCUUUCAGUAUUUUUUUUUUUUUUCCUAUAAUUGCAGAUGGACCGGUUGACCUCAAUUUGUAAACCAUGUGGUGGCAUUGGCCGGAAAAUUUAUAUGCUCAAAAAAGUUAAAUGUUUGUUUACUUUUUAUAUUUUAAGUCGAGUAUUUUUUUUAGUUAUUAUAUUUUAAAAAAAUAUUUCAAGACACUUCUAUUAUUAAAUAUGUGAUAUUUUUAUCUUUUUUUUUGUUUUUACGAUCAUAACCUUGCAAUAAUAUUUUUGGUGGCAUUAAUGAAAUAGAAAAAAAAAGUUAACUUAUUAAAUUAACACUAAAAUUUAAAUAAAAAUUACGAUAACACCUUUGCAACAAUACUUAUUUAUUUAUUUCUAAUUACAUUGCAAGUCUAAUAAUAGUAUUUUAUCUUAGAUUCUUUAACCAUAAAGUUAAUGAAAAAGUGGUGGGUUAAUAUAAAGUUAAAACUUGAGAUAGUUCUAAUAUAUCAUCAACGACUCGUGAUAUCUACGUGCACUUUCAAUAUUCCUCAGGCGAUUAGGGGAUAACUUUCCGAGAUUCACUGAUAUAUUUCGGUUAUUGCAAUGCAAAUGGGGUACUUCAAAGGAAAUUUAUUACUUAUUAGGUAAUCCAGGAUAUGUUUUGGCUUUUGGACGAGUGUGGAAACCAAAUUUAUCAGCACCUGGAACUUCUCUUCUGUUUUAAUGGAAAUUUUAUUAGAGAAAAAAAAAAUACCAAUUUAUCUCUCGGUUCUUAAAUACUAUUUACUACUUUAUUAUAGGGUAUAUAACUGUAAAACACGUAAUAGAAUGAAAUGAUUCUAACAUAUUGGAGUCAAUAAUUGCGGUUACGAGCAUGCCUCCUUUUAUAAAAUGAACUAGAUUUUGCAGGUAUUUUGGUGACAUUUUUCAAACUUUAUACAGCUAACUGUGAUCUGAUGCCAACGUGAAAUUGAAAUAUGAACUAAAGUUCAUUUUAUAAAUUGACUUUUAUCAGAUUGUUAAGGUUAGAAUAAAUUAUCUUGAAUUUGCACUAAUGCUCUCACACUUAUAUAACUAAUUAAUACAUCAAACUAAUGGCUUGGGGCUUCCAGUCGUGACAAGCAUAAAGAAAUUUAUAUUUUAGUAUUUUUUAUAUUGCACUACCUACUCUAAUCAUUGUUAGACAUGGGCACUCUUAUUUUUUUCAAAUGCGGAUUUUGAAUUCUACUAGUUUAUAACAUUGUAAAAUCUUGAAUCCGCAUUUUAAGAAAUGCAAACAUCUGCAUAAGAGAAUUACUUCUAUCUAAUGUAUUCAAAGAAAUUAUCAAUUAAAUUUCAUAUUUGAAAAUCUAGACAUUUUUUUGUGAAGAGUAUGAAUGUUGUUAGAAUAAUAAUAAUAAUUUGUUAUGUAAUUUAUUAUUGUUCUAAUGAUUGUGGUCGUUUUUUCCUUUUUAAUUGUGCGCAUCCAAAGUAAAUUGACCGUAGUUUCUUAUUAUUAUUAUUAUUAUUACAAAUUUUGGCUCUAGUUACUCUUAAACUCAGUUAAAAAUAUUUUUUUUAUAAUAUGUUUACUUGCCUAUUGAUAAAAGUGACAUGUAUUUUACACACAAAAAAAAAAAAGCCUUGAAUUUUAAAAGAGUAAUGUUAUGCUUACUCACUUUGAAUACUCAAUUGUGAUAUUUAAUGACGUGGCAUCUUAUGUGUCAUCUGUUUAGUGGGUUGUAAAAAUAAUAGGUUAGUAAUUAAUAAUAAAAUCAAUUCAUAUCAUAUUCAUGUUAUUAAAUGAUUCGUGACACAUUAGUUGAGUAUCCUGACUAAAUAUUUAAACUUAAUAAGUAUAGCAUUAUUAAUUGUAGAAGUAAUUGUAUGAUUUGUGAUGUGUAUGUGCAUCACACUAAUCAAUUCACAAGGUGUACUACGGUUCCAUCCAUUAGAAAAAAAAUCUCACACUCACAGAAACAAUUGGAAUGCUUAAUUUAAGCUAAUAAUCGCAUCAGAUUGAAAAGAGAAAAGUAAACCAAUAAAAAAAAUUAACAAACUACAAAUAUUUUGUAUUGUAACGAAGUGCGGUUGUACGAGGAUUUUUUAUUGAUACAUCAACACCCUAACAGUAAGAUUAUAUAUCAAAAGAUGACACGUUAUUUGGGCCCAAACAGCAGCGCACGUUAGUUUGGGUUUAAAAUCUCAUUACAUCUGCAAAUCCAUGGCCUUUUUGCACUAACAAACCACUUACUCAAAAGUACGCUACGCCAUAAUUAAUUAUUUUGGAAGCCACAAUCACAGAUUGUAAAGAUGGGGCGAAAGCCUUGGGUGAGCCAGAACCUCAAGUGGAAACUUUCUCGGGGUAGAAAGCCCAAAAAUUUCCUCCAUAUUCAGCUCCUCAUUGCUCAUAUUUCCUGGCAAUUUCCAUGCAAAUCCAUGCAAAAGAUUAGCUAAGCUUGCUUGAAUAACCUUAAGGCCGAGACUGUACCCUGGACACAUUCUUCUCCCAGCCCCAAAUGGCAGCAGCUCAAAAUCAUGGCCUUUCACAUCAAUUGAUUUUCCAAUAAAUCUCUCAGGAUAAAAUUCAUUUGGCUUUUCCCACAAACUUGGGUCUCUCCCAAUCGCCCAUACACUAACAAGGACUCGAGUGCCUUUUGGGAUGUCGUAGCCGGCUACGUUGCAAUCUUCUCUAGCCGCUCGGGGCACUAGGAAAGGAGCCACAGGGUGCAAACGCAUUGUUUCUUUAACUAUGGCAUCAAUAAAUGGGAGAUUAACGAUGUCCUUUUCUUCAACCCACCUUUCUUUUCCAAUUACUCUAUCUAGUUCCUCUGUUGCUUUCUCAAAGAUUUCGGGUUUUUUUAUUAGUUCAGAGAUGGCCCAUUCCACUGUUACUGCUGAGCUCUCAGUCCCACCAGCAAUUAAGUCCUGGAUUACACAAGAGAUAAAAGAUUAGAAAUCGUGUGCCUGAACAUAUACUUUCAAGAAGUUUCAGACUAAACUUUAGGCUCUCACUAGCUAAAUGACUCUGAAAUCAAUUGGUUAUUGAACUAUAUUUUAGUUAUGUGGAAACUUCGAAACUAUGCAUGCAUUAUAAAAUAAAGUCAUAUGUAGUAGCGAUCAAUUUCUUUGACGGCCGGUGAACUGAUGAACCGGUAAAAUCUUCAACAAAAAUAAAAUUACAUGCAAAAGCAAAAAUGAGCCCACGGCGCACACUGGUCGGCUGAUAGGUUUAAUUUUAAACGAUUCACGUGAUGUUUAUAUACAUGAGAAUUUAAUGGAGCCCACAAUUAUUAAUUUUGUAAUGUUCCUUUAUAGAAAAAUGAUAGAUGUACAAAAAUGAGAACAAUCAAUAGAAUACUGAUACAUACAUGAUAAAUUAAUUAUACUAAAUAAUUUAUCUUUUAGUCAAAAUUUUCUUUCUUGUAUCGCUUUUAUCCCUACUGUAGUCUUGAUUUUUACAUGUAUAAUGUUCUCAGCUUUAUAUUAUAACUAUAUAUAUUUCAACUGAGACAUGCCUUGAAGAUUUUGAUCCAACAACUACUAAAAAAGCAAGCAAUUUCAAUAAAUUCGACAGGUCCACAGUAUUGAAAGAUACUUGGCAACGAACAAAAAAAGCAAGCAAUUUGCUACCAGUAAAUUGAGAUGUCGAUGUCUACCCGAAGUUGUAAAAGCCAGUGACUCUUUUCUCUCAAUCCAUACAAAUUAUCCAUGUCGUAAGUGUUUGGAUUUUUAUCAGAAGUUGCCCAGAAAUAAGGGAGAGUGUUGAAUUUGAUGUGAAUCACAAAUUUACUUCAGCACCCAAAAGAUAUUUUAUUUUGAUAACUAUUCCUUUGAAGAAUACUAAUAAUUAAAGAGAAAAAUUAGUUUAUUUGACUUUAGCUACCUAUGUGCACGUAUAGGCAAAAUCUCUUGCAACAGAAAUAUGAAUAAUAAUAAUAAUAAUAAAUACAGAGUUGAAAAUAUGUACCUGUGUAAAAGCUUUGACACCAUGUCUUUCAAUCUUGACUUCAAGAGAAGGAUCAUCAGCAAGCUGCAAAAGCACAUCCACCAUAUCUUUAGCCACAUAAUUUUCGACCCCUUUUCUUCUAGCGUUAUGUUCAUCCAGCACAUGCUCCAGAAACUUGUCAAACUUCUUAGCCAAAGCCUUCAUUCUCUUUAUAUUACCUUGCAAAUCCAAGAACCCUAGCCAAGGAAUCGAAUCGCCGAUAUCUAAAACCCCAUUAAGCAGGAACAAUUCAUCAAGCAUGGCCUUGAACUCCUGCGGUGUCACGAUCUCGUUUUCUUGCUGCUUAUCUGUGUAGUUCUUCCCCAAAACCAUACGGCUUAUAACAGCAAGACUCAAAUCAGAAAGGUGAUCUUUCAACAUAAUUGGCUUGCCGGAUAAUUCAUACAAGCGACUGAGAAGUAAUUUCAAUUCUUGUACUCUUAUGUACUCGAAUGAUUCGAGGCGUUUGGCACUAAACAAUUCCAUUAAACACAUUUUACGUGCCUGACGCCAGUAUGGUCCAUAAGGUGACCAUGUAAUAUCUGAGUAAUUGAAGGUCGUGUACUUGCCUGCGGCUGUUUUGGGGCGGCCAGCAAACAGUACAUCAUGGGUUUUGAGGACAACCUUAGCCAUCUCAACGGAAGAGCCCACGACAACGGGGAAUGACCCGAAUUUGAGCUGCAUAAUGGGCCCAUAUUUUUC